rnacentral:rRNA from 1 species
UACGGGGGGGGCAAGCGUUGUUCGGAAUUACUGGGCGUAAAGGGCUCGUAGGCGGCCAACUAAGUCGGAUGUGAAAUCCCCAGGCUUAACCUGGGAACUGCAUCCGAUACUGGAUGGCUUGAAUCCGGGAGAGGGAUGCAGAAUUCCAGGUGUAGCGGUGAAAUGCGUAGAUAUCUGGAGGAACACCGGUGGCGAAGGCGGUCACCUGGACGGAUACUGACGCUGAGACGCGAAAGCGUGGGGAGCAAACAGG